GACGAACGCUGGCGGCGUGCCUAAUACAUGCAAGUCGAACGCAGUGGGGACGGGUGAGUAACACGUGGUUAACCUCCCCAUCAGAGGGGAUAACACUUGGAAACAGGUACUAAACCGAUACUGAUGGAUGGACCCGCGGUGCAUUAGCUAGUUGGUGAGGUACCGGCUCACCAAGGCCACGAUGCAUAGGCAACCAGAGAGGGUUAUGGGCCACACUGGGACGGAUACACGGCCCUAACUCCUACGUGAGGCAGAAGUAGGAAAUCUUCGGCAAUAGACGAAAGUCUGACCGAGCGACACCGCGUGAGUGAAGUAGGUUUUCGGAGCGUAAAACUCUGUUGUUAGAGAAGCGGUAUCUAACCAGAAAGCCACGGCUAACUACGUGCCAGUAGCCGCGGUAAUAG
rnacentral:rRNA from 1 species